rnacentral:lncRNA from 1 species
AAAGCACAAAAAAUAGAGUUAUGUUUUAAGUUAAGUUUUGUUUUCAAAUUAUUCAAAAAAGAAGAAAAUGUUCAAACGUAUAUGUUUUAUUUUUAUGUAUAUUUAAUAAAUAAACUAUUGUUUCUUAAUUAUAUUUUUUAAUUAGCUAUUUAACUUUUCUUAAAUGUAUAUUAAUUUAAAAUGAUUAGUUAAAAAAUUUAAUUAUUAUAUUUUAUUUUAUAUAUACCUACAUAUUACCCCACUACUUCCCC